rnacentral:tRNA from 1 species
CGUCGGACUUGAAAAUCCGUUGGCUUUAUUGACCGUGAGGGKUCAAGUCCCUCUACCCCCA